AUACGGGGGGAACAAGCGUUGUUCGGAUUCACUGGGCGUAAAGAGCACGUAGGCGGAAGGAUAAGUCAGAUGUGAAAUCCCGGGGCUCAACCGCGGGUCUGCAUUUGAUACUGUCUUUCUUGAGUACGAGAGAGGAUGGCGGAAUUCCUGGUGUAGCGGUGAAAUGCGUAGAUAUCAGGAAGAACACCGGCGGCGAAGGCGGCCAUCUGGCUCGAUACUGACGCUGAGGUGCGAAGGCUGGGGGAGCAAACAGGAUUAGAAACCCCAGUAGUCC
rnacentral:rRNA from 1 species